rnacentral:rRNA from 1 species
UGGGAACCGUAGCCCUUUAGUGAGGAAUACCGGCGAGAAAUCGCCGACAAGACCGCAUGAGCUUCCCUGACGAGGGUCAGGGAAGGAAAGCUUCGCAAGAGGCGCUGGAGGAGGGGCCUGCGUCCGAUUAGCUGGUUGGUGGGGUAAGAGCCUACCAAGGCGUCGAUCGGUAGCUGGUCUGAGAGGACGAUCAGCCACACUGGGAUUGAGAACGGCCCAG